CCCUUAGAUGUUCUGGGCCGCACGCGUGCUACACUGAGUGGAUCAGCGGGUCAGGUUGCGCGAAAGCGUUUCCUAAUCUUUAAAUCCGCUCGUGAUGGGGAUUGACGGUUGCAAUUUUCUGUCAUGAACGAGGAAGACCUUGUAAGCGCGGGUCAUCAUCCCGCGCUGAAUACGUCCCUGCCCUUUGUACACACCGCCCGUCGCUCCUACCGAUUGAGUGGUCCGGUGAGGCUUUGGGAUCUGAGCGGAAAGAGCGUUUCGCUGUUUCUGCUCGGAAAACUCAGUCGAACCUUAUCAUUUAGAGGAAGGAGAAGUCGUAACA
rnacentral:rRNA from 1 species